GACGAACGCUGGCGGCGUGCUUAACACAUGCAAGUCGAACGAUGAAGCCGGAGCUUGCUCUGGUGAAUUAGUGGCGAACGGGUGAGUAACACGUGAGUAACCUGCCCUUGACUCUGGGAUAACUGCUAGAAAUGGUAGCUAAUACCGGAUACGACCCUCGGCGGCAUCGCCAGGGGGUGGAAAGAAUUUCGGUCAAGGAUGGACUCGCGGCCUAUCAGCUAGUUGGUGAGGUAACGGCUCACCAAGGCGACGAAGGGUAGCCGGCCUGAGAGGGUGACCGGCCACACUGGGACUGAGACACGGCCCAGACUCCUACGGGAGGCAGCAGUGGGGAAUAUUGCACAAUGGGCGCAAGCCUGAUGCAGCAACGCCGCGUGAGGGAUGACGGCCUUCGGGUUGUAAACCUCUUUUAGUAGGGAAGAAGCGAAAGUGACGGUACCUGCAGAAAAAGCACCGGCUAACUACGUGCCAGCAGCCGCAGUAA
rnacentral:rRNA from 1 species